AGAGAAUCCGAGUUCAUAAGAGACUCCGAUGAAGAGAAAGCUUCCCUGCAGAAAUCCAUCAGUAUUACCAGUGCCUUGCUCACGGAGAAGGACACAGAGCUGGAGAAGCUGAGAAAUGAGGUCUCCUUGCUCAGGGGAGAAAAUGCCUCUGCCAAGUCCUUGCAUUCAGUUGUUUAGUCCCUGGAAUCUGACAAGGUGAAGCUGGAGCUCAAGGUCAAAAUCUUGGAGCUUCAACUCAAAGAGAACAAAAGGCAGCUCCAGAGCUGGGCAGGUAAUUCUGAUUCUCAAGCAGAUGAGGACGAAAGGGCCCAGGAGAAUCAGGUAAU